UACGUAGGUGGCAAGCGUUGUCCGGAAUUACUGGGUGUAAAGGGCGUGUAGGCGGGAGGUUAAGUCAGAUGUGAAAUUCCAAAGCUCAACUUUGGCACUGCAUCUGAAACUAAUCUUCUUGAGUACUGGAGAGGAAAGUGGAAUUCCUAGUGUAGCGGUGAAAUGCGUAGAUAUUAGGAGGAACACCAGUGGCGAAAGCGGCUUUCUAGACAGAAACUGACGCUGAGGCGCGAAAGCGUGGGGAGCAAACAGG
rnacentral:rRNA from 1 species